rnacentral:rRNA from 1 species
UACGAAGGGGGCUAGCGUUGCUCGGAAUCACUGGGCGUAAAGGGUGCGUAGGCGGUUCUUUAAGUCAGAGGUGAAAUCCUGGAGCUCAACUCCAGAACUGCCUUUGAUACUGAGGAUCUUGAGUAUGGGAGAGGUGAGUGGAACUGCGAGUGUAGAGGUGAAAUUCGUAGAUAUUCGCAAGAACACCAGUGGCGAAGGCGGCUCACUGGCCCAUUACUGACGCUGAGGCACGAAAGCGUGGGGAGCAAACAGG